UUUUCCCUGCCUUUCUCGUGGACGGCGGUUUUUUUAACCCUACAACCCAUUCUUCGGGAGCUUGUCUCCGCCGGUGGAUUGCAGACCUCCCGGCCCCUCGGGGCUGGAAGAAGGGAGCACGAAUCCGGAGGGCGGGCACCCACCUGUCUUCUUUCGUAGGCAGGUUAAUACAAACCGCAUUACGGCUGGGCGGGGCUUUU
rnacentral:other from 1 species